rnacentral:rRNA from 1 species
CCUACGGGAGGCAGCAGUGGGGAAUAUUGGACAAUGGGCGAAAGCCUGAUCCAGCAAUGCCGCGUGAGUGAUGAAGGCCUUAGGGUUGUAAAGCUCUUUUACCCGAGAUGAUAAUGACAGUAUCGGGAGAAUAAGCUCCGGCUAACUCCGUGCCAGCAGCCGCGGUAAUACGGAGGGAGCUAGCGUUGUUCGGAAUUACUGGGCGUAAAGCGCACGUAGGCGGCUUUUUAAGUCAGGGGUGAAAUCCCGGGGCUCAACCCCGGAACUGCCCUUGAAACUGGGAAGCUAGAAUCUUGGAGAGGCGAGUGGAAUUCCGAGUGUAGAGGUGAAAUUCGUAGAUAUUCGGAAGAACACCAGUGGCGAAGGCGACUCGCUGGACAAGUAUUGACGCUGAGGUGCGAGAGCGUGGGGAGCAAACAGGAUUAGAUACCCUGGUAGUCCACGCCGUAAACGAUGAUAACUAGCUGUCCGGGUUCAUGGAACUUGGGUGGCGCAGCUAACGCAUUAAGUUAUCCGCCUGGGGAGUACGGUCGCAAGAUUAAAACUUAAAGGAAUUGACGG